GGGUUUUCUCACGCUCCCUCACUUCUCUCUCUCCCUCGCAUCUCUCGCGCAGCCGUCGCUCUCGCUCCCCUCCUUCUCUCCGGCCCGAGCCGCCGCUGCUCCUCUGCGCCUCCAUCCUCCUCCUGGCCGUCCCUUCUGCUAGCCCCUCGCGACCAUGAAGGGCGGCGGAGCCAUCAGUAGCAGCGACGGUCGGGCUCCUGGGUGUGAGGCUAGAGAAGGCCAAGCAGAGCACGCCGUCGCCGUCGCAACCAGCUGCGCCUUGGGCGAUGCCGACGAGCUCCAAUGGCUUGACGCCACCAACGCGCUUCAGUGGAUCGAUCCGACACCAGGAACCGUGAGCACCAGGCCCACCUACCCCGCCGCCGGCGCCGCCUCCUUGCAAGAUCCCGACCAUGAUUGGACAAGGCAAAGUUUCAUGUUAUUGGGGCAAUCUUAUUUACAGCCCAGCAAGGUGUUCUGCAUCCAACAGCUGUUGUGAAGACUAGAAUGCAGAGGAUUUGGCACCAAUGCAGUUGGAGCUCUGCUCACCGUCUACUGGGUGAACCGGGGCCUCUGCCACUUCCGCCACAAGGAAUGGGCCAGGGUCGAGGAGGACAGCAGGAGGGCACUCGUGCUUGACGACACCUCCGUCAAGGGACACUAUUUGCUAGGAUGCGCACUGCUCUUGAAGGGGAACUGCGCUCUCACCGUCAAGGAAUUCGACAAGGCGUCUGAUCUCUUGAAGUCCUCAAAUUCAAGGGACAAAAUGGCAGAGGACAUUUGACAGUUUCUUGCAAGGCAAAGUACCAGGACUGGGAAAAGCACUCUACUCAGCGAGUUUGGAAGAUGCAAAGUUGUACACUGUGUGUUGAAAUUGUUGUCAUCACUGUGCUGCAGAUCAAUCCUACUGCAUAUGUAUUUAGCAUUGGGGUUCAAUUCGGCAAAACUUUAACAGUCACGUUGGUGCCUUACAUUCAAGAUACUGGUUUUUCUAACACUGUUGUAACAUGAACAUGUAGGGAAGCAUGUGAAAAUGCUCUGCCACGCCUCCACCUUCUCCUUCGCCCUUCACCACCGAGCCCCCUGACCCAUCACGCUUGUCGCGCCCUUUGCGCAAGGGCUUCCAACCCAAUGUGCCGAUUGUGGCUGUUCUUGAGGCUGCUAACCUACAGCUGUUGACCCCACUGCUCCCCAGUGCAGAGGAUUUCCAUGGUGUCGCAGCUCCAAGGCACACCUGACCUCCUCCUUUUGGUGAUGUUUAUCAGUUAGUGAGAUUUCUGCACCUAGACACUAUGACGCAGAUUGUCGGGGGUUGGGUGCGACAUAUGCCAAAGGAUGGCUUAGCAUGGUGGGAGCUAGUAGAACGUCACCGAUGCCUGGAAGUGGGAUAAGGCGUAGACACGUAUGCCGGCGAACUUUACCCAGGUUGGGGGCUCUCUGUGGAGAUAAUACCCCUACUCCUGCUCUGCGGGGUCUCCGCAUGAUCACUAAGGCAUUAAUGAUACAAAGUGCUCCUUGAGCUGUGUCUAGAGGUAGGAGAAGGCAAGGCUAGCUCUUCCCCUGCCCUAGGUAUCUGACUAGUUUUAUCUGGGUUGGAACCCUUUGCAUGGGUGCCCUGGGGGGUUUAUAUAGGUCUACCCCCAGGGGUACAAUGGUAAUCCAGCCGGGUGCUCGGCCCGGCUGUCAGUGUCUCCGGCCUCUGGCUUCUCCGCCGACGUUGGGGCCUGCCGCCUGGUGGGCCCUGCCGACUGGUUGGUGACUGCUUACUAUAGCCGUGUCGUCGGUGGAGAGAGCUUGGUCAUCCUCAGCGUGGCUACAGUCUCGCCGCCUAGUAGGAGAUCACUGUAGCCACACCUGGUCUCAUCAGCUUAAUGGCAUGCUUGCCUCGGGGCAAGGGUGUUGGGGAUCGUAGCAGAAAUUCAAAAUUUUCCUACGUGUCAUCAAGAUCUAUUUAUGGA